rnacentral:rRNA from 1 species
GAUGAACGCUGGCGGCGUGCUUAACACAUGCAAGUCGAACGAUGAAGCCCAGCUUGCUGGGUGGAUUAGUGGCGAACGGGUGAGUAACACGUGAGUAACCUGCCCUUAACUCUGGGAUAAGCCUGGGAAACUGGGUCUAAUACCGGAUAGGAGCGUCCACCGCAUGGUGGGUGUUGGAAAGAUUUAUCGGUUUUGGAUGGACUCGCGGCCUAUCAGCUUGUUGGUGAGGUAAUGGCUCACCAAGGCGACGACGGGUAGCCGGCCUGAGAGGGUGACCGGCCACACUGGGACUGAGACACGGCCCAGACUCCUACGGGAGGCAGCAGUGGGGCAUAUUGCACAAUGGGCGCAAGCCUGAUGCAGCGACGCCGCGUGAGGGAUGACGGCCUUCGGGUUGUAAACCUCUUUCAGUAGGGAAGAAGCGAAAGUGACGGUACCUGCAGAAGAAGCACCGGCUAACUACGUG